AGGCCAAACAUGCCAGAAACAUGGCAAUAAAAUUCCAUUGGUCAGUAGUGGUGAAGGUCUGGUUGAGAUCACAGCCUGGGGACAUGAGAAGAUGGAUAGAGGAUACACUCAAAUGGUGGAUAUAUCACACACCACUGGAGGACAAAAAAGGAAGUAAUGAGGGUAAUGAGCCAUGAGCACUGUUGGAAAUCAUUCCAUGCAGGAAGCCUCAUCCUCUGGAUCAGGCAGAUAUUAUUGGCACAGUACCAACAGCUGGAAGAUGAGAGAGGA